rnacentral:rRNA from 1 species
UGUAAUUCUGUAUAAUCCCUGAGGGGGAAAGAUUUAUUGGCAGGAGAUGGGCCCAUGUUUGAUUAGGUAGUUGGUGUGGUAAUGGCCUACCAAGCCAGUGAUCGGUAGCUGGUUUGAGAGGAUGAUCAGCCACACUGGAACUGAGACACGGUCCAGACUCCUACGGGAGGCAGCAGUGGGGAAUAUUAGACAAUGGGGGCAACCCUGAUCCAGCCAUGCCGCGUGAGUGAGAAGACCUUAGGGUUUGAAACGCCCG